UCCUGGCUCAGAACGAACGCUGGUGGCGUGUCUUAUACAUGCAAGUCGAGCGGUGCAGCAAUGCAUAGCGGCGAACGGGUGAGUAACGCGUAAGCAAUCUGCCCCCUGUUCGGGAAUAGCCGUGCCAACGCGCGGGUAAUACCGGAUAUCGUGGCCCUCCACAUGGAGGGUUGACAAAAGAUUUAUCGACAGGGGAUGAGCUUGCGUCCGAUUAGCUAGUGGCGGGGCAACGGCCACCAAGGCGACGAUCGGUAGCCGGCCUGAGAGGGUGAUCGGCCACAUUGGGACUGAGAUACGGCCCAGACUCCUACGGGAGGCAGCAGUAGGGAAUAUUGCACAAUGGAGGAAACUCUGAUGCAGCGAACCGCCGCGUGAGUGAUGAAGUAUUUCGGUAUGUAAAGCUCUAUCAGCAGGGAAGAAAUUGACGGUACCUGACUAAGAAGCCCCGGCUAACUACGUGCCAGCAGCUGC
rnacentral:rRNA from 1 species